rnacentral:rRNA from 2 species
UCUGGUGUCAGCCGCCGCGGUAAAACCAGCACCUCAAGUGGUCAGGAUGAUUAUUGGGCCUAAAGCAUCCGUAGCCUGCUUUGUUAGUUUUCGGUUAAAUCCAUACGCUCAACGUAUGGGCUGCCGGGAAUACUGCAAAGCUAGGGAGUGGGAGAGGUAGACGGUACUCGGUAGGAAGGGGUAAAAUCCUUUGAUCUAUUGAUGACCACCUGUGGCGAAGGCGGUCUACCAGAACACGUCCGACGGUGAGGGAUGAAAGCUGGGGGAGCAAACCGGAUUAGAUACCCGGGUAGUCCCAGCUGUAAACUAUGCAAACUCGGUGAUGCAUUGGCUUGAUGCCAAUGCAGUGCCGCAGGGAAGCCGUUAAGUUUGCCGCCUGGGAAGUACGUACGCAAGUAUGAAACUUAAAGGAAUUGGCGGGGGAGCACCACAAGGGGUGAAGCCUGCGGUUCAAUUGGAGUCAACGCCAGAAAUCUUACCCGGAGAGACAGCAGAAUGAAGGUCAAGCUGAAGACUUUACCAGACAAGCU